rnacentral:rRNA from 1 species
GACGAACGCUGGCGGCGUGCUUAACACAUGCAAGUCGAACGGAAAGGCCCUGCUUUUGUGGGGUGCUCGAGUGGCGAACGGGUGAGUAACACGUGAGUAACCUGCCCUUGACUUUGGGAUAACUUCAGGAAACUGGGGCUAAUACCGGAUAGGAGCUCCUGCUGCAUGGUGGGGGUUGGAAAGUUUCGGCGGUUGGGGAUGGACUCGCGGCUUAUCAGCUUGUUGGUGGGGUAGUGGCUUACCAAGGCUUUGACGGGUAGCCGGCCUGAGAGGGUGACCGGCAAGGUGGGGAUUGAGGUACGGCACAGAAUGCGACGGGAGGAAGCAGUGGGGAAGAUUGCACGAUGGGAGGAAGCCUGAUGCAGUAAAGCCGCGCGCGGGAUGACGGCGUUCGGGUUGGAAAGUGAUUUGGAAUGGGACGAAGCGUGAAUGACGGGCAGGGGGAAAGAAGCAAAGGCGAAAUAAGGG